GGAUUAGAUACCCUGGUAGUCCACGCAGUAAACGAUGAUCACUAGAUAUUUGCGACAUACUGUAAGUGUCUUAGCGAAAGCGAUAAGUGAUCCACCUGGGGAGUACGGUCGCAAGAUUGAAACUCAAAGGAAUUGACGGGGGCCCGCACAAGCGGUGGAGCAUGUGGUUUAAUUCGAUGAUACGCGAGGAACCUUACCAGGGCUUAAAUGUAGAUUGACAGUUUGAGAAAUCAGACCUUCUUCGGACAAUUUACAAGGUGCUGCAUGGUUGUCGUCAGCUCGUGCCG
rnacentral:rRNA from 1 species